rnacentral:rRNA from 1 species
UACGGAGGGGGCUAGCGUUGUUCGGAAUUACUGGGCGUAAAGCGUGCGCAGGCGGCUAUGCAAGACAGAUGUGAAAUCCCCGGGCUCAACCUGGGAACUGCAUUUGUGACUGCAUGGCUAGAGUACGGUAGAGGGGGAUGGAAUUCCGCGUGUAGCAGUGAAAUGCGUAGAUAUGCGGAGGAACACCGAUGGCGAAGGCAAUCCCCUGGACCUGUACUGACGCUCAUGCACGAAAGCGUGGGGAGCAAACAGG